GUAUGAAUAAUGAAAUUAGCAUAUAUUGGAAGCACAUGCAGAACAACGAAAUGUACAUAUGCCUUUCGAGUCAAUACGAUACAAACAUAAUCUUUCACAAAUGUAUUUAGAUUUGAAAGGAAACAAAAGCAAGGGCAUACAAGGAUUUCAAGAAAUCACAUAUAGCUCAAUUGAAAUAAGAAAGUUAGAUAAAUUCAAUGUCCAAA
rnacentral:lncRNA from 1 species